GUAUCCUUCUAACGUAAUGUGUAGGGUGUUUCGACGUUGCCGGAAGCAAGACAUCUAGUCAUAAGAUCGUGGAAACGGUGCACGGAAGGCUGUGGAGAGACUGUUAGUGGGUUUAUGUUCAGAUGCUUUUAUACCUGUGUGUUUUUUCCUACCUCUGCAAGUACGGUGAGGAUUCCAUUGCGUUAUGAACUUCUGUUCGCGAGAACUUUGCUAGGUGGGUGAUGAUGUCUGCUUGAAUAUCCCUUGGUAGAAUCUCUAUGCGUGAUAGCUCUUGAAGCUCAGCCUUUCUUUCUUUUUAUUUAGGAUUUUGGAAAUGGACGAUGUUAUGGUGUCUUUUGUUUAGUUUGUGAGACUUAGAUGUGUGUGUUUUAAAUGAGUUUUUUUUAUUUGGUUGCCUUAAGCCUUUUGCGUAUUAAUUGUGAAGAUCCACAAAUAUUUUGUGGUUAAGUCAUUUGAAAGUACCGUUGGCUUGCGACAUCCUUUGAUUUGAUAUUAUCACGUUUUGAAUGGAUAAUUUAAUAUUAUCACGUUUUGAAUGUAUAAUUUAAGAUUCGUUAACGUGCUGAAAUUUAUGUGUAAAAGUUUGAAAAUUGGAGUCAUUAUUUAGUUGGUCUUGUCAGUUGAUUUAGUGAUUCCCUUUUUUGUGGACUUAUAGUUUGUAUUACUUGCUACGUGAGUAACAGUUUAAGCGAUUUUGAUAUGAUAAGGCGUUUUUUGGUGCUAUGUAGAUGUUGUUAAUUUUGCAAUUCCGCUAGUUGACAUACCUACACCGUCAAAUAGGAGAAUUAGAUAUCUAUCUAUAAUAAUAAAAUAGGGUUUUCUCCCUUUUCAUUGCGCCACAACAUCAAGGAAGCAAUAGGCAAAAGACAACACGUCAGCAUCUAUUUUUUCAAGUUUUUUUGUCGUAGUGGGCUUUUCCUUGGCUGGUUAAGCUGCCCUUAAUCGUCGUAAGUAACGACGACCUUUGGAUCCAUUACAGAAGAAGAACAGAUGUCUCCUGCCCUAUUCAUCAACUUAGUGCUCUUUUCUCAUGUUGUUCGAGAUCCCGUUUUCUGUGAUCGUUAAAGCAAUAGAUCUGUUUCUCCAGACUCAAAGACAUCAUGAAAAUGAAACGUAGAAGGAAAAGAGACUCAUGAACAACAGAAGCGUUUUCAAUCUCAGAUUUAACAAAGAGCAUUUCAGAUUCCACCAGAUGACCAAAAUCUAAUGGAAAGAGUAAGCCGUCAUCUCUGAUUCUACCUCUUCCUCUCGGCCGUUCUGAAUCUCUACAUUACUGUGCAUUUAUCCACUCUGAAUCAUUCAUUCCUCUUCUUUAAUCCUCUCUUCAUUAGCGAUGCUUUCCUUCCAACUCCCUCUCUUUCUACUCCUAUAUUACCCACUUUGUGAAAGGUUUAAUCAAAAUCAAACUCGUCAGGGGAACUGUGAAGCCUUUGAGUGCCUCAGCUUGCAAUCAAAAGCAAUCUUUUCCGGUGGGAUCUCAAGAUCAAAGGUGCUUUGAUCAUACUCUAAAACAUAGUGUGUAUCAUCAUGUACGGGGAUACUUUCAGUGUCGCUGGUCGUGAUAUUCCCAUUGUACGUCGUGUCAUUAAGGGUCACGAAAGGGAGAUUACAUAAGAAGUGGAUGUUUUGACAAAAGGUGUUGGUUCUGCUGAUUUGGAAUGACACUUAGUGGCAAGAAACUACGUUGGGGACUUUGUAUUAACUUCCCUACAGUGUAUGUCCUGCAAACCAAAGUUAACAUUUAUUUAGAUCUUUACAUUGUUUUCCCAUAAAAUUUUCAUACAUAUAUGCAAAUAUGGAACAGAUCAAUCAUAUUGUCUCCCUAAGUGUUCUUUUUAAGACUCAGCUUCAAGCCUUCAACAAUAUCAAGUUGAACAUCAGCUCAGGAGAGAAGUAGACAUUCAGUCUAUAUUCGGGAACUGUGGCUUACGGUUAUUUUUAUGAUGAUGCAAAAUCACUACACAGUUAUCAUGAAGUCUUCGAUAAGAAAAGUAUUCAAUCAAGACAUUUACAGGGAAUGAAAAGAAGAAAUACUGGAUCAUAAACAAGUUCAUCUGAGAUAAAAAAAAUGGGUUAAUCUGAGAUACUACAAACCGUAGCCGCCACUUGCUUCUGUCUUUUGAUGUUGGGCAAAAAAAACUUCGUUACUAUCAUAAAUCCUAACCAAAACAAAACUUUUUGGAGAAGAAAAAUGGUAAUUACAAUGCU